AUGGCGUCGGCGAGGCUGACCCCGAACGGCGUGGGGGCGGCGCUGGCGGGGGAGACGAACCUCAGGCCCAUCGUGCAGGUCGUCAACCUGCGCUGCGUCAACGUCGACGGCAAGGGCACGCCCCGGAGCGACAGGUGGCGCGGCCUCGUCUCCGACGGCGCCGAGACCUGCCCCGCGAUGUUCGCCGGCCAGCUCAGCGACCUCGCGCGCUCCGGGCUCAUCCGCCGCGGCUCCGUCGUGCAGCUCGACGAGUACGUCAUCAACAUGGUCGGCGGCAGAAGGGUUAUCGUCGUUCUGAAUUUGACAGUUCUUCUCGCGGAGUGUGACAUCAUUGGCAAUCCAGUGAUUACUCCAGAAAGUGAAUCUUCUAAUCAAAACAACCCAAGAGUGGAGCAAUUUAACGGAACACGUCAAUAUGGUUUGGCGGCAGGAAACCCAAGUCCCACAAGGCCCAAUGGCAAUGUUCCAGUCUUCCAACCUUCGGUGUCAGGGAGCUCCUUGAACACACCCACCAGGCUCAGUGACAAAUCUCCAGUUUUCCAGCCAACAGCACAGCCAUCUUAUCGUCCUGCACCCAGUUACAAAAAUCAAGGAGCAAUUGCGAAAAAUGAAGCCCCUGCUAGAAUAAUCCCCAUAUCUUCUUUAAAUCCUUAUCAGGGCCGCUGGGCUAUCAAGGGUAGAGUUACUGCAAAGGGAGACAUCCGCCGGUACCACAAUGCAAAAGGUGAAGGCAAAGUGUUCAACUUUGACUUGCUUGAUUCUGAUGGGGGUGAGAUACGGGUGGCAUGUUUCAACACUCAACUUGAUCGCUUCUAUGAAGUUGUGGAAGUUGGUAAGGUCUAUGUGGUAUCAAGAGGAAACUUGAAACCUGUACAGAGGAACUAUAACCAUCUGAACAGUGAGUGGGAGAUUACGUUGGAGAGAGAUUCAUCAGUGGAUCUUUGUCCUGAUGAGAACAGCUCAAUUCCCUCUCAGCAGUUUAACUUCAGACCGAUCAGUGAAAUUGAGGAUACUCCGACCGGUACUAUACUUGAUAUCAUAGGUGUUGCUAUCUCUGUCAGCCCUUCCACCACAGUACAGAAGAAAAAUGGCACGGAAACUCUGAAAAGAAUGAUUGGCCUGAAGGAUAUGUCUGGUCGAAGUGUUGAUCUAACCAUGUGGGGUGACUUUUGCAACAGAGAAGGCUCACAGCUGCAAGAAAUGGUUGAACGUGGGGUCUUCCCCGUGCUGGGUGUCAAAACAGGAAGAGUGAAUGAUUUCAAUGGCAAGUGUGUCGGCACAAUUUCUUCCUCUCAACUCCUCAUAGACCCUGAUCUCUCUGAAGCUCAUACUCUGAGGCAAUGGUUCGACGGUGGAGGAAGGGAUGCUUCUACUCAGUCCAUAUCUAGGGAUCACACUCCUUCAGCAUCAAGGAACGAGGUCCGAAUGACAGUUGCUAAAAUCAAGGAUGAUGGUCUUGGAAUGGGAGACAAACCUGAUUGGGUUACUGUGAAAGCCUCCAUUAUAUUCUUCAAGAGCGACAACUUCUGCUACACAGCUUGCCCUACUAAGGAAGGUGACCGGCAGUGCAAUAAGAAAGUGACAAAGGGGACCUCUGGCUUGUGGGUGUGUGACAAAUGCGACAAGGAGUUUCCAGAGUGCGACUACAGGUAUCUUCUGCAGCUUCAGAUUCAAGAUCACUCGGGAACAACUUGGGUGACAGCGUUUCAGGAGACCGCGCAAGAGUUACUAGGCUGCUCGGCGCUAGAACUCGUUACAUACAAAGAGAACGGAGACCCUCGUUUUGCAGAGACCAUGCUCAGCUGUUUGUUCAUGGAUUAUCUGCUCAGGCUGAAAGUCAAAGAAGAAACGUACAGCGACGAGAGGAGAGUGAAGAACACAUUGGUCAAAGUGGAGAGGUUUGAUCCUGCUGCCGAAAGUAGAUAUCUGCUCGAUUUACUUUCAAGGUCGGUGGCAUCAUAUUGA
rnacentral:rRNA from 1 species